UGAGGUGUCACUUGACGUGUGAGGAA
rnacentral:piRNA from 1 species